rnacentral:tRNA from 1 species
GGAGAGGUGGCAGAGCGGCUAAUGCGGCGGCUCCUAGAGAGUCGUCACGCCGACAUGAUACGGCGUCGGGGGUUCGAAUCCCUCCCCUCUCCG